UACGAAGGGGGCUAGCGUUGCUCGGAAUCACUGGGCGUAAAGCGCACGUAGGCGGCUUUUUAAGUCAGGGGUGAAAUCCUGGAGCUCAACUCCAGAACUGCCUUUGAUACUGAGAAGCUUGAGUCCGGGAGAGGUGAGUGGAACUGCGAGUGUAGAGGUGAAAUUCGUAGAUAUCGCAAGAACACCAGUGGCGAAGGCGGCUCACUGGCCCGGUACUGACGCUGAGGUGCGAAAGCGUGGGGAGCAACAGG
rnacentral:rRNA from 1 species